rnacentral:misc_RNA from 1 species
GGGCAUUAGGAGCCAAGUAAAUGUUAACAGUCCAUGCUAAGCUAAAAGAAAGAAUAAUCACAGGCAUCCAAAAAAGAUUACCAAGCAGUGACGAAAUUAUGAAAUAGGGAUAAACAUUUAACAGGGGAGGAAUCAGUUUAUCAUAGAACAUUUGUCCUAAAGAACAACAGCAAAGAUAAACGAGCAGGUCAGAAAAAUGCUAAAGUCGUGCCCGAUAGAAAAAUGAACACAAAAUGAGAAACAACUGUCCAAAAAUUUAUCAUGACAAGAAACAGAAUUGAAGCCGAAUGAAGGAACACGUAGAUCAUUUACAGGGGCUAGCUAUUUUGAAAUUUAAAGAUGUAUAUCAUGGGUUAAUCCCAAGAGACAUAAACAUCAAUCCUACCAAGCGAGAACAAUAGAUUAUAGACUUUAUGAGAGAUUAACAUAGUUGAGAAGUUCAGGACCAAAUGAACACGCGCAUACAUUAGAGAAAAAAAACAGG